UACGAAGGGGGCGAGCGUUGUUCGGAAUUACUGGGCGUAAAGGGCGCGUAGGCGGCGAUCCGAGUCAGAUGUGAAAGUCCUGGGCUUAACCUGGGGACUGCAUUUGAUACUGGAUUGCUUGAAUUCGGGAGAGGAUAGCGGAAUUCCCAGUGUAGAGGUGAAAUUCGUAGAUAUUGGGAAGAACACCGGUGGCGAAGGCGGCUCACUGGCCCGGUACUGACGCUGAGGUGCGAAAGCGUGGGGAGCAAACAGG
rnacentral:rRNA from 1 species